AGAGUUUGAUCCUGGCUCAGAACGAACGCUGGCGGCGUGGAUAAGACAUGCAAGUCGAACGGAAUUUCAUGAAGGGCAACCGGAUUGAAGUUCAGUGGCGAACGGGUGCGUAACACGUGGGUCACAUUCCGGGAAGUGGAGAAUAGCCCAGGGAAACUUGGAUUAAUGCUCCAUGUGGUCGCAAGACUAAAGGCGCAAGCCGCUUCCUGAUUGGCCCGCGGCCUAUCAGCUUGUUGGUGAGGUAAUGGCUCACCAAGGCUACGACGGGUAGCUGGUCUAAGAGGACGACCAGCCACACUGGAACUGAGACACGGUCCAGACACCUACGGGUGGCAGCAGUCGAGAAUCUUUCACAAUGGGGGAAACCCUGAUGGAGCGACGCCGCGUGGAGGAUAAGGUCUUCGGAUUGUAAACUCCUGUCAUGCGAGAACAAGGCUUUGCGGCUUGAUAGUAUCGCAAGAGGAAGAGACGGCUAACUCUGUGCCAGCAGCCGCGGUAAUACAGAGGUCUCAAGCGUUGUUCGGAAUCACUGGGCGUAAAGGGUGCGUAGGCGGCGAGGAAAGUCAGAUGUGAAAUCCGAGGGCUCAACCCUCGAAUGGCAUCCGAUACUUCCCCGCUCGAGAUUUGUAGAGGAGUCUGGAACUCUCGGUGUAGCAGUGAAAUGCGUGGAUAUCGAGAAGAACGCUCGUAGCGAAGGCGAGGCUCUGGGCAAAUUCUGACGCUGAGGCACGAAGGCUAGGGGAGCAAACGGGAUUAGAUACCCCGGUAGUCC
rnacentral:rRNA from 1 species